UUUACGCAACGGCUGACGUAGGGGAAGACGCGUUAGUCAGGGGGAAGGUUCUAGAAAAGCGGCGGCAGCGGCGGCGCUAGCGGCAGUAGCAGCAGCGUCGGCUCUCCUGUGGAAGUGCUCUUCGUGGUGGUGUUUCUCGAGCAGCUGCAGUUCUCACUACAGCGCCAGGACGAGUCCGGUUCGUGUUCGUCCGCGGAGAUCUCUCUCAUCUCGCUCGGCUGCGGGAAAUCGGGCUGAAGCGACUGAGUCCGCGAUGGAGAACACUUUAGAAACUGUUCCUUUGGAGAGGAAAAAGAGAGAAAAGGAACAGUUCCGUAAACUCUUCAUUGGUGGCUUGAGCUUUGAAACCACAGAAGAAAGUUUGAGGAACUAUUACGAGCAAUGGGGAAAACUUACAGACUGUGUGGUAAUGAGAGAUCCUGCAAGCAAAAGAUCGAGAGGAUUUGGUUUUGUAACUUUUUCAUCCAUGGCUGAGGUUGAUGCUGCCAUGGCUGCAAGACCUCAUUCAAUUGAUGGGAGAGUGGUUGAGCCAAAACGUGCUGUUGCAAGAGAGGAGUCUGGAAAACCUGGGGCUCAUGUGACUGUGAAGAAGCUAUUUGUUGGUGGAAUUAAAGAAGAUACUGAAGAGCAUCAUCUUAGAGAUUACUUCGAGGAAUACGGAAAAAUUGAUACGAUUGAAAUAAUCACUGAUAGGCAGUCAGGAAAGAAAAGAGGCUUUGGAUUUGUUACUUUUGAUGACCAUGAUCCUGUGGAUAAGAUUGUGUUGCAGAAAUACCAUACCAUCAAUGGUCAUAAUGCAGAAGUAAGGAAGGCUUUGUCUAGACAAGAAAUGCAGGAAGUCCAAAGUUCUAGAAGUGGAAGAGGAGGCAACUUUGGUUUUGGAGAUUCUCGUGGUGGUGGAGGAAAUUUUGGACCAGGACCUGGAAGUAACUUUAGAGGAGGAUCUGAUGGAUAUGGGAGUGGUCGUGGAUUUGGGGAUGGCUAUAAUGGGUAUGGAGGAGGACCUGGAGGUGGCAAUUUUGGAGGUAGCCCUGGUUAUGGAGGAGGAAGAGGAGGAUAUGGUGGUGGAGGACCUGGAUAUGGCAACCAGGGUGGGGGCUACGGAGGUGGUUAUGACAACUAUGGAGGAGGAAAUUAUGGAAGUGGAAAUUACAAUGAUUUUGGAAAUUAUAACCAGCAACCAUCUAACUAUGGUCCAAUGAAGAGUGGAAACUUUGGUGGUAGCAGGAACAUGGGGGGACCAUAUGGUGGAGGAAACUAUGGUCCUGGAGGAAGUGGAGGAAGUGGGGGUUAUGGAGGGAGAAGCCGAUACUGAGCUUCUUCCAAUUUGCCAUGGCAUUGAUAUGAACCGUGGACAAGUAUAUUCUGCUGCCACAAAGACUAAAGUGCUUCAUUUCAACAGCUGAGGAAGGUGUCUUGCUGCAGGUAACUAAUGAAGAAGUGGUCAACCACAGAGUCUUCAAGAAUAAGAAAUUCUGUACCAUCUGAAAGUAGUUCUUGUUGGUGCCUUCAUUUAAAAAAGCACUCUUAAGAUCAAAGGGAAAUGUUUUCUGAUACAAUAACAAACUUCAUUUAGUACAGGUUCUUAAUAUAAAACAAUUACAUUGAGUAUUGUUUGUAAAAGAGUUAACAUCAAAUCAGCUAGAAAUGUAUCAUGUUUUAAGUUAGGUUUUGUGAGUAGACAGAUUAAAAUUCUAUUUUAAAUACAAAGUUUAUAAAAUAAAUACUUUUGUAUCCAAAUACUUGGUGUAAUGUUUACACAUAAGAUGUGUGAAUCUUGUUUUAUAAACAUUCAGUUGUCUAAAGGGUUGCCAUUCCCUAGAUUUUUUAAGCAGUUUUACAAACUAUGCAUAUUGCCAUUUUUCAAUAUUGAUAGACAAAUGAGAAAAAAGUUGUGGACAUUAUUGGCUGUCCCUAAUAAAAUGGCAUUCUUCACACUA